CGGGGUGUAGCGCAGCCUGGUAGCGCAUCUGCUUUGGGAGCAGAGGGUCGCGGGUUCAAAUCCUGCCGCCCCGACCA
rnacentral:tRNA from 1 species